GACGAACGCUGGCGGCGUGCCUAAUACAUGCAAGUUGAGCGCUGAAGGUUGGUACUUGUACCAACUGGAUGAGCAGCGAACGGGUGAGUAACGCGUGGGGAAUCUGCCUUUGAGCGGGGGACAACAUUUGGAAACGAAUGCUAAUACCGCAUAAAAACUUUAAACACAAGUUUUAAGUUUGAAAGAUGCAAUUGCAUCACUCAAAGAUGAUCCCGCGUUGUAUUAGCUAGUUGGUGAGGUAAAGGCUCACCAAGGCGAUGAUACAUAGCCGACCUGAGAGGGUGAUCGGCCACAUUGGGACUGAGACACGGCCCAAACUCCUACGGGAGGCAGCAGGAGGGAAUCUUCGGCAAUGGACGAAAGUCUGACCGAGAAACGCCGCGUGAGUGAAGAAGGUUUUCGGAUCGUAAAACUCUGUUGGUAGAGAAGAACGUUGGUGAGAGUGGAAAGCUCAUCAAGUGACGGUAACUACCCAGAAAGGGACGGCUAACUACGUG
rnacentral:rRNA from 1 species